rnacentral:rRNA from 1 species
UACGUAGGGGGCAAGCGUUGUCCGGAAUUAUUGGGCGUAAAGAGCGCGUAGGCGGUCUGAUAAGUCGGUUGUGAAAGUCGGGGGCUCAACCCUCGGAUGCCGAUCGAUACUGUCAGGCUAGAGUCCGGAAGAGGCGAGUGGAAUUCCUGGUGUAGCGGUGAAAUGCGCAGAUAUCAGGAGGAACACCGGUGGCGAAGGCGGGUCUCUGGGCCGUAACUGACGCUGAGGAGCGAAAGCAUGGGGAGCGAACAGG